GGCCGUUGGGAGCAGUCGCAUUGCAGGUCGCUCUCCUCUCUCUCUUUACGGACGCGGUUUUUGAUCUUUAUAUCCUCGACAAAGUCAACCCGAGUGAAGACUUACAUCCGAGUGGUGGAGCAGAUACGGGUGAUUGAAUGCCUCAUGGGAGUAGGAGGCCCGGGCUCCCCUGGAGCUGGGUCCGAGCUGGUCGGUCCGCGUACGGGAACGGGCAGGCGAGCCGUGGGAAACGAUACAGAUGAUGGAAGUACCCCGAAUACCGGACCACACCUCAGUCAAUACCAGGAGGAAUCCGAUGAGGGGCACGGGGUCAGAACGCUACAACAACAAACAAAAACACGGUCGGGAGUGCAAAGUGUAGGAAAG